UGGGGAAUAUUGCACAAUGGGGGAAACCCUGAUGCAGCGACGCCGCGUGAACGAAGAAGGUAUUCGUAUCGUAAAGUUCUGUCCUAUGGGAAGAUAAUGACAGUACCAUAGAAGAAAGCUCCGGCUAAAUACGUGCCAGCAGCCGCGGUAAUACGUAUGGAGCGAGCGUUGUCCGGAAUUAUUGGGCGUAAAGGGUACGCAGGCGGUUUAAUAAGUCGAAUGUUAAAGAUCGGGGCUCAACCCCGUAAAGCAUUGGAAACUGAUAAACUUGAGUAGUGGGGAGGAAAGUGGAAUUCCUAGUGUAGUGGUGAAAUACGUAGAUAUUAGGAGGAAUACCAGUAGCGAAGGCGACUUUCUGGACACAAACUGACGCUGAGGUACGAUAGCGUGGGGAGCAAACAGG
rnacentral:rRNA from 1 species